GUGCCGGUGGGGUAAUGAGCAGAUCAUUCCCGCCCGAUCAGACGGAGGUGCGGGUUCGAGUCCCGCCUGGCGCA
rnacentral:tRNA from 1 species